AGUGAACGCUGGCGGUAGGCCUAACACAUGCAAGUCGAACGGCAGCACAGUAAGAGCUUGCUCUUACGGGUGGCGAGUGGCGGACGGGUGAGGAAUACAUCGGAAUCUACUUUUUCGUGGGGGAUAACGUAGGGAAACUUACGCUAAUACCGCAUACGACCUACGGGUGAAAGCAGGGGAUCGUCGGACCUUGCGCGAUUGAAUGAGCCGAUGUCGGAUUAGCUAGUUGGCGGGGUAAAGGCGCACCAAGGCGACGAUCCGUAGCUGGUCUGAGAGGAUGAUCAGACACACUGGAACUGAGACACGGUCCAGACUCCUACGGGAGGCAGCAGUGGGGAAUAUUGGACAAUGGGCGCAAGCCUGAUCCAGCCAUACCGCGUGGGUGAAGAAGGCCUUCGGGUUGUAAAGCCCUUUUGUUGGGAAAGAAAAGCAGCAGGUUAAUACCCCGCUGUUCUGACGGUACCCAAAGAAUAAGCACCGGCUAACUUCGUG
rnacentral:rRNA from 1 species